AACUCUUCUCCCAGGAGUGUCUGAAAGGAGCAAUUCAGAUCCCAGAACUAGAGAAGAGGCUGAAUCCCAAGGGAUUGUCUCCUGACAGCCUUCAUGGAUGUGCUCUGCUGGAAUUUGUGGGCAUGAUGCUUCAGAUGAUCCAUGGUGUCCUGGAAAGAGCUGCUGCAUCCUUGUGAGUUAACACACGAGCUGUGGCAUCCAGAAGGAAAUACCGUGAUGCUCCAAGAUACUGGCACAACACCAAGUCUGGUGCAUGGAGUUUGCACAAUGCUUCUCAAAUACGUACUGAAAAAAGUUGCCAAAAAAUGGUGUUUCUGAACUCAGCUUUCUCACCUUGGACAUUCACCAGUACUCAGCAGACAAUGGAGCUGUGAUCUCUCCGGGAACCAUAGUGCUUAUACAGAGUCAGUUGCAACAUUCCUCUUAACAUCUGAACAUAUGGCUUACUUGAAACUUCCUUACACACCUCCUGUAAAAUAAAACCUACAACAGCAAUAGUCAAA